rnacentral:rRNA from 1 species
AUUGAACGCUGGCGGCAGGCCUAACACAUGCAAGUCGAGCGAGCGGCGGACGUGUGAGCAAUGUCUGGGCAACUGCCUGAUGGAGGGGGAUAACUACCGGAAACUGUAGCUAAUACCGCAUACCAUCAGAUGUGCCCAGAUGGGUUUAUCUUGUGGGGGGGGUAAUGGCUCACCUAGGCGACGACCUCUAGCUGGUCUGAGAGGAUGACCAGCCAAACUGGAACUGAGACACGGUCCAGACUCCUACGGGAGGCAGCAGUGGGGAAUAUUGCACAAUGGGCGCAAGCCUGAUGCAGCCAUGACGCGUGUAUGAAGAAGGCCUUCGGGUUGUAAAGUACUUUCAGCGGGGAGGCGUUACCAGCAGAAGAAGCACCGGCUAACUCCGUGCCAGCAGCCGCGGUAAUAC